GGGCGGAGCCGCGGGCCGCGGGAAGGGGAGGAGCGCCGCGCGGCGCCCCGAGCGCAGGGAGGCAGAGAUGGAGCGUACAUCUCCCAGCUCCCGCAUCAAACCUGGAUACACGUCCGCGGAGAAAACGAAACGCCUCUCAUUUUUCUGGGAUGUGCUCUUUUUGGACAAACUUUGCUCAGGGUGUCCGCAGAUCCAGCUGGGACACUGUGAAGCCCUUCUGGGUUCUCAGUUGGGUUGAACUCUGGCAGGGAGGGUGUCUCUGGAGCUGAGGGAUGUUGAGCUGGGUUUGGGCUCCGCUCGGCAAGGCUAAAAGACUUUUUCCACGAGGGAGUCCCUCCCUCCCGAGGGGAAAAUCCGUCCCGAAUCCGACACCGAGUGACUGCGCAUCCAGAAUGUGCCAGGUGUGAUAGGCUCAUCUGUAAAUAAAACAAAGACCCCGCUCUCAAGAA